GCCGAAUUCAAGUGAUUGAUUAUAAUACUAUGUAUGGAGAAUACACGUACUUCAUCAAAAUUUUUGCUAAAGUUCCGGAAGCCCCUAUCCAAGGUUUGGAAACUGAGAGUGUCCAUCCACGGCCAUCGAUUGAGGCCAAUAAUAUCCGACCAG